AUUGAACGCUGGCGGCAGGCCUAACACAUGCAAGUCGAGCGGAUGAAGGGAGCUUGCUCCUGGAUUCAGCGGCGGACGGGUGAGUAAUGCCUAGGAAUCUGCCUGGUAGUGGGGGAUAACGUCCGGAAACGGGCGCUAAUACCGCAUACGUCCUGAGGGAGAAAGUGGGGGAUCUUCGGACCCCACGCUAUCAGAUGAGCCUAGGUCGGAUUAGCUAGUUGGUGGGGUAAAGGCCUACCAAGGCGACGAUCCGUAACUGGUCUGAGAGGAUGAUCAGUCACACUGGAACUGAGACACGGUCCAGACUCCUACGGGAGGCAGCAGUGGGGAAUAGUGGACAAUGGGCGAAAGCCUGAUCCAGCCAUGCCGCGUGUGUGAAGAAGGUCUUCGGAUUGUAAAGCACUUUAAGUUGGGAGGAAGGGCAGUAAGUUAAUACCUUGCUGUUUUGACGUUAACAACAGAAUAAGCACCGGCUAACUUCGUG
rnacentral:rRNA from 1 species